rnacentral:lncRNA from 1 species
CAGUUUUUUAGUUGCUGGAUGAGAAAGGAAGUCUAUCCCUUAAUAGAUCAGCCACCAUCCAGUGGAAGACCACACACACAUCAAGGGAUAUUUGGGUAGCACAGUUGGUUUGGAAGAAAAAGGGAAAAUAUACACAAAGUUGGGUGUGAAGUGGGGAGAUCUGGCAAGAGCUGGGGAGGCCGGUGAAUAGGAUCAAGACAUAGAUAGCAGUGCUUAUCUAACAUUCCCUCUGUGAAGACUGUCUUCCCUGUCUUCACACUGGUAGCACCCACGAGUCUUCAUGGGUGUGACAGGGCAUCCCUGACUCCAGAGCUUUCUGCAUCCCUGCUACCUUCUUCCAGUUGACUGUCUCAUACCUGCAUGUUUCCUUGCUGAUGUUUUCCUUGAUGCUUCAGGACUGCUGUGACUUAUUCUCAUUGAAUUCCUCCUCGGCUAGACUCUAAGAUCGUCACACCAGGGUCACCUCGGGACCCCACAGCCCUGAGACCCGAUAACUGCUUAUUACACACUUGCUAAAGAAGCCAACACUGAUCAAGGGAAAUUGAGCUGAAUCUCAGAUGAGGACCAGGAGGCCCUCAGACAGCUGCGGGAGCAGAUUUGAAGACUGACUUCACAGGAAUGAGAAAGUACUUCGGAGAGGCUUCUGGUUUCGUGCAGACAGGAGCAGGAGAAUGCCCGUGUUCACGCUGAACCUCCACUUGGAGUUAGCCCGAGUGUGAAGCAGGACCCAUACAUUGUCACAGCUCUCACCACUCCUGCUUGGGAUUUAACUCAACUCAACUAUAUGACUCCCAGAAGAAAGCAGGCACAC